UUACAGGGACAUCACCAAAUGUCACAGCAGCAAGACUCAUUUACAAUGCUGAAAUUGGAGACAAUGUUACUCUUGAUGUACUAAUAUAUUCGCCAGAUAGUGCUUUACUUACAAUUGACUGGUUCUUCCAUCAAAAUGGUUUUGAUCAAAAACUUAACGUUAGUGCAAGUGCCAAGUAUAUCGGAAGUACAUUGGAGAGGCCUUCGCUGCUUAUAAUAAAUAUUAGAACAGAUGACAUGGGGAACUAUUCGUGUGUUGCUAAAAAUUCAUAUGGCAAGGGAGAAAGUGAACUAAUGUUGCUUGAAAUUAAAGGUAUAUUUUGACGUUAGUGAAUAUUGCAAUAUGUAAAGAAGUUGACAUUUCUGUAUUAUAUUUUAUCAACCGAAUCAUAGAUAUUUAUAUCACAUGUUUUUGUUUGAUAAACAGUUAAUACAUUCAAAUGCAAAGUUGUAUAUAACAUAUUUUCAUUUAUAUUGCACUCGAAGUUACAAUUCAUGUAUCCUAGAUAGUAUCGCCACAUUGAUUGUAAAACGGUUUUAUCACAUGGAGCUUAAAAUAUACGACAUUAUACAUCACUUACAUCACAACAAAAUACUUCUGCGAUUCAACUAAACAUUACGUAUGCUUACAAAUCGCAAAAUAUUCAAAUUAAAGAUUUACAUUAAGUAGGCAUAUUGUCUACAACAUUUUCAAGUCUUGUUGUCAGAUAAAACUACAAUCUAUAGGAUACUUGUUUUCGUAUUUUGUACUUGUUAUUACAGUAACUCGAUUGUUUUUCCUUUAAAUUUAUCAGUUUAAUGUCCGAAUAAGUAAAUAACACCGUUUUAAAUAAAUUAAGGGUAUUACAUAUCAACAAACAUUUACAUUUUCCAUUCAUAACUGUUGCUAAGAAAUCAUGCAACAUUUGAACUAGGACUAUGCUUGAAAAAAAUAUGUUCUACGUUGAUAUGAGGAAUUAUUUUCUCUAAUAUUUGUUUAAGAAUAUUCUUGUUUCAAGUCCGGACAUACCAACGUUUUGAUAAUCAUAUACAAAUCGUAUUGAUAUAUAUUGUAGAUCAACAAAUAGCUUUCCCUAGUGUUGUCACAAAAGUACAUCAACAACACUUUACUUUAAGAUGAAUUCAAUAAAUCAGAUACUAAAGCUUCAAUUGAGUUUGAAUGUCCCUCUGGUAUCUGUCACCCUUCUUUCACAAUACCACUCAAAACAAUUUUCAUGGCAAUGAUGGUAUUUAGGCAAUUUUAUUUUUUGAACUACAAAUGAUAAGACAAAACACAAUGUCUAACAGAAACCAUAACAGAAAUAUCAAAAAUAAAUACAUGAAUGUUGGAUGAACAUAAUACCGAUACAGGUUGUAAAGCAAUGCAAAUUCCCACUCUUUAUUACUUAACAGGAAAACGACAUAGAUGUUAAAUAACAAUUUAAGACGUUGUAAAAAUUAUGUUAGUUCAAUAUGACACAGACACAUCGUAUAUAUCAAUCAAUUCGUGAUGGCUUCCAGGUUAAAUCCACCAUUUCACAUUACAAUAAACCUGUACCAAGUCAAGAAUAUGACAGUUGGAAUCCGUUCCUAUGAUGUGUUUGGGCUUUUGAUUUUGCCAUUUUUUUUUCAGGGCUUUUCGUUUUUGUUUUCCUCGGAGUUCAGUACUUGUGUUGUUUUUUUGUUUUUUUUUUUUUUGCUUAUUGUCACAUAAUUUAUAAUUGCAAUAUGAGCCUAUAAUACGCCAGUUGCCUUUCAGAUAGUUCUUAUUCUUGACAUGAAUAAAUCAGGUCAACUAGAAAGUCUGUGAUUUUCGAGGAAUUUUAUUUUGAAGAAUUAAGUUCCAGAUCGUCGCAUAUCAGAAAUAAAAAAAAAUAAUUUCAAUAGGUAUAAACAAGCCAUCAAAAAUACAAAAAAACAACUCAAACCGUUUUUGCGUUAAAGUUAGCAACAAGAAAUUAUCUCGUUUGUAUCAAUAGAAUAUCAUAGCUUGAAAAAGUCAAAUCUUAAAUUUGUAAAACAUUAAAAGACAACACACGUCAAUAGUUAUAAACAAGUUCAAUGAAAAUUGGUGAAAAAGUUUUUGACUUAAUGUCAAAAGUGUAAACUACGAACGGACACACGAUAGGGCAAACGAACACCGAUUUACCAUAAUACGUCUAGUACAAGAAGGAAGUAUGGCAGUUAAUUGUUUUAAUUGCCGUUAUAAUGACAAAAUUCCAAAUGAGAUUUAUAGAUUAUCGUUGGUAAUGUCAGCGAUAUUUUUUUUCGAUGGAGCCGGCACAGAGGAAGUGAGAAAAGGCAAUCGAGUUGAGAUGAUCAAUAUUAACCUGUUUAUCGCUAUUUUGCUUAUGCUGACGUUGAUGCUUACAUUGACAACACUUCUGUGAUGAGAAUGAAAUUUGUUUUAAGUCUGUAGGAUCAAAGGUAAUUUUGGAAAAAGCGACAAAAUACAAUAUCCAUACUAUACAUUGAACAUGCCGGGUUUCGUAUGUUAUUAUACCCUUACAUAAAAAGACAUCUAUGAUCAAACUAAAAUUGAAAAUUAAUACAUACCAAAUUGCCUUCCGACACAGAAAAAAGUCCAAGUGAUAAUAUAGUUAUUAUGUAUUUCAUGUAUAAUAUUAAAAAAUGAAAAGAGAUACCAGGCUUACAAUUUUGCUUGCAAUGCUUGAUAGUUUUCAGCAGCAAGAGAUAAUUCUGGUGCUAUUGUCUUUGUUUUAUUUUAAUUACGGAUCAAUAUUAUAAAUAUUUUUUUCAGAUAAUCUUCCCAUAGUUGAUGUAGGACUUCAAGAAUAUUAUGGACUUCUUGGGAA
rnacentral:lncRNA from 1 species